UACGUAGGUGGCAAGCGUUGUCCGGAUUUCCUGGGCGUAAAGAGCGCGCAGGCGGUCGUUCAAGUCGCGUGUGAAAGCCCCCGGCUCAACUGGGGAGGGUCACGCGAUACUGAUCGACUCGAAGGCAGGAGAGGGUAGUGGAAUUCCCGGUGUAGUGGUGAAAUGCGUAGAUAUCGGGAGGAACACCAGUGGCGAAAGCGGCGCUCUGGGCCUAAACUGACGCUGAGGGGCGAAAGCGUGGGGAGCGAACGGG
rnacentral:rRNA from 1 species